UACGGCCAUUUCACUUUGAAAUUUCCUUAUGAUCACCGAAGUUAAGCAACAUCAAGCCUGGUCCGUACCUAGAUGGGUGACGGCUUGGGAAUAUCAGAUGCCGCAA